rnacentral:lncRNA from 1 species
AGAUUUGCUGCCGGCGAAGGUAGAUAUCGCUCGUGGGCGGUGGCCAUCAUUGAGAGUCUACCCCCCUCUAAAAUUUCUCUUCCUGGGGCUGGUGGCGCAGGUGGCCGGGUGAGUGCGUGAACGCGUUUGAUGCGGUCUUCAGGGCAGAUGCUCGCCCACCUCAGCGAGUCCGGCGGCGAGGCCAUCAGGAGGUCCGACGGCUAGCGACGGUGGUGGAUGUGCUGGAGGUUGGUGGCGUUGAGGGGGCAGUAAGGAAGCUCACGGAGAAGGGUGUGGAUUUCCUAGAUGAGUUCGUGCAAUGGAUAAUGGUCGGAUCUGAGGAGCGGGGCAGAGACUUGCACUGCGGCUAUGCUUCAUGAGAGCUAUGGGGUUAUGUAGACAAAUGUGAGAUCGUGCCAUAAGCAAAUGACAUCAAGAUCUGAGCACCGUUGCAGACGGCCUCGAGUUAUUUUCCUCUUCAUCUCCUACAAAAUGUAAGUGCGAGCCGAUCAUAUGCAUCCUUCCUAGUGCAGAUUAUUUUUUUAGUUCCUCCAUAUCACUAUGUAAGUCUGUAGUGUUGUACUCCUUAUUUAUGAAAUUUCUCUUCGUACAGGUUGCUUGCAUGGUCAAUUUGGGCAUCGGUUUGUUAAGCAGCAAAAGCUCGCAUGUUGAAUCUACUCAACUCAAGUAUGUUUUCACCAGAAAACUCAAUCGUGUAGUGUAUGGAAUGACAUGUUUAUUUAGUUUCUACUAAUUAGUUUGGAUAACCUCUGAUCAUCCGAUGAAGUAACUGAGAAGAAAUUUUGGUCAUGUUAUUACUUCCCAUUUUUUUAUACCUAUGCAAUUAAUGUUAUUUGUUGCUGGUUUUGCUGUGGCGCCAAGUCUAAAUGAGGGAACCUUGUUUUUAUUCAAAGCAAGAUCCAUGUGUUGACAUAGGAUGGAUUUUGUACAAAAUGCCUAUAAUAUCAAGCUUUUCUAAUAUUCUCUUAACUGAAAAAGGCUGUUGGAUAGAGAGCUAUUAUGAAGAGCAGAAAACUCAUAUAUCAAGUAAUUACAACAUGACAUGCUUCUGGUAGUGCUAACUUCAGCCGUUCAGCGCCUUGUUAUGUAAUACGUGUCCUUAUAUUGGUAGAUGUCAAGUGCUCUUCUCUAUCUCAGUUAUGGUCUGCCUUAGUUUCAGUCUAAGCUAUAUUAAUCAACUAAUUUUGUGGGUAACCUCCUUGUUCGCCUAGGUUUUUUUGGCUACUGUAUCUUCGAACUGACCACUUCCCUUGUAGCAUUUUUCAUCAACACUUCCGGUCUUGUGGCCAUAAACCUCUUUGGUCAUUUUAUGCAAUCUCCUUAUGGCUGCAGUAUCAGUACAUCUUAUUUUGCCACAACUGGCAACUGAGUCUUCAUCUUCAAGCAUUGCAGUUUUUACUUCCGCUUCAACAUGUUUCUUGUUCCCAGCAUACAUCUCUCCUUUCUUGUACACUUAUCUUGGUGUAUUCAUCCUCUGAGCCAUCCGAUAAUAUGAUAGAUCUCUAUCAUUUUCUUUUGUCAUUGCAGAGUCCAUGUGAUGUUUAUGUUUUUUUUCUUCACACCCAUCAUCAUGUACUAUAACCCCAUUAGUAUCGUGUGGUUCUUCUUACAUAGAAACAAAUUGUCAUAUCCUUUUCUGAGGUGAAUCUCUAUUGUUAUUUGUCUGCAAAAUAAAAAUACAUUUCAAAGAUUACACGUGUCUCUAAAAAUUGAGAAGUAGUACUCUGAGAAAAUUAAUCACCCUUUAGCCUCUAUGUUAUGCUUCUUUGUUGCUUUUUUGAACACGGCGUCCACUUCAUCAUGCAAAAUUCUGAGAAUCAUAUGUGAGAUGUAUUAGUUAGGAAAAUACAAACACAAUACUUCUUUUGUAAUGGAUAAAGGCAAAUUUUCCUCCUCGGCUUUAUCUUUCAGGUCCAUCAUCUCAAGCCUAUCAUCACACACAAAUGUUCUUUUUACUGCAUAGUUUUUUGUUCUGAAAGUGAGAUUGCCAUCGCUGAACAUGAGCUGAAAAUAAGUGUUUGUCAACAUUAUUAUUAUGUAAUCUUUGGCGCUUCUUCAUAUUUCUCAUCCAGUGAAUUUAGCAAGUCUGAGACAAAUGUAUUGAACAAUUUUUCGGCCUCACCGUCAAAUAAAGUGCAACUUGUAGUAGUCGUACAGUCAUUAAUUUAUUGUCAAAUACGAUAACUAUCAUACGAUUGUUAUUAGUGUAGAGUAAAUGUAAUAGGAAAGAAGUCUUCUUCAAAUUAGUAGAAUAUGCUUACCGAGGUGAUACAUCAUCUCGAUAUGUAUCACAACUCUCGUAACAGUACUUGUCAACUUCCUUCUUAUCUAGUUUGUGAAAAUCAUCACAUCACAUAUACCAGCUUUGAAUAUGAUCACUUGUAGCUAUUACUGUGAACACAAAAUCCUAAAAUGAUUUCCCAAAAAUUUAGCAUACUGGAGAAAGUGAGAGACAUAAUUAAGUAGAUAUGCACUAUAACUGAUAUUUACUAAGUUGUCAUUGCAGGUGUUGAGAGUCUGGUUUUCCUCAAAAAGUGGCGAUUUCAUAUCUUAGAAGAAGUCUCGCAUUAGUACAAAUUUGAACUAAAACCAUAACACUUAUUUUGGAUCGAGGGAGUAUGAAUUUGGUAUCGAUUCUUGUGUUGAGUUCCUGCACAUUUGGAGCAAAUCGAGUAUAAUAAUUAUCUUAGAUUGGUGAAUAAAGAUGAGUCAAGAUAAAUUAGCUGAGAAAUAAUAAAAGUUGGUCUUUCAUACCUGUCAACAAUUUCCCAAGUUUAUGGUAUAUCUAGAUCUGUAUAGAUUCUUAUGACACUUGACUUUAAGCAUAAUCAUGUUUAAUCAACGUAAAUUCUGUUAGACAUAUUUUUAUAAGGGAGAAGUAUAUUUUUUGUCCCUAAACUCUUUCGAAAGUAUAGAAAUAGUCCUUGAAUUCAAAAACCAGCAAAACUUAGUCCCUCAACUUUUUAAACCGGAUUAGUUUAGUCCUUCAUACCGCUUCGAGUGGUUUCCAUCUAAUGUGGACAUGGUUUUGACCAAAAACUUGAAACGUCACCUAGGCUUGACCGCCACGUCAGUCCAUGUCAUUUUUUUCAAAGCACAGUGCAUGUCACCAAGGGCCCCAGUACUACGAGGCGCGGCGAGUUCGGAUGAGAAGCCGGACAGCGUCGUCCAUGACGGUCAUGCGGCGGAGACAAAGUGCUCGAGCGGCCAGAGGAGCUCGGCGACCCAGGGCGUGGCGUUGGCAGACGAGUUACUUGGCCUCCGUGUUGCACGGGCCGUCGAGCUGCAGCCUGCGCCCAGCGCGACGCCGCUGACCUUUUGGACAGGAGGCCUGAGCAGGAGGAGGAGCUCGAGGCCGCGAGCUCGGACAAGCCCUCCGCGGGCACCUCCACUGACCGCGUUGGCCAUGCAUCCGAUCGUAUGCAGCAGGGUGUAAGGUGCAGUCUAGGGAGCAACACAUCACGUGAGUGUGUAUUCUGGGCGAGAUCGGAUCAGCAUGUUCGUUGUGUUUGGCCUGCAUCUCCUGCGGGCCGAAUCAAUACGUAUGUUCACGUAUACCUACGUGUUUUGCCGGCGGCUAGAAUCAAUCCAGCAGCUAGUCUGCACUUCGUGUUCCUUCCUGGAGCACGCCUGCCUCACAGGAGACCCAAGGUCGCGCCCUGGUGCACCAGCUCAUUGCAGGAGCUCGCGAUCCCUGCUCGCGUGGUGCCCCUCCAUCCAUCCUAGCUAUAGUCAUGUCAAGCCCAACCACAACAUGAAUGAAGAACGGUAAGUCCGUCAGUGCAGACCUUGGUUUUAUGAGGACCCGCGCGAGCGUGUAGACUUGAGCCACCAGCGGUGGCAGCGACACGAGCAAAAGAGCAGCUUUGGGAGCUUCACGCCGUUGACCCUGCCUCCAGCACUCUAACAGACCAAGGGAAUACACAUGCCAUCGUUAAUCAGCCUCAUCAUGGACCACCCGGGCCGACGCGCACCGAGCCGCACCACGCCGGCUGCAGGCGCAGCCGUAUUUGCCCGUUGCACACACUGCCGGGCGCCGUCGACACGCACUGCCCGCUCGCUGAGCAUUAUACCGAGCACCUUUCAUGCACGUGUCCGAGUCAAAAACCACACUGCGUCAGCAGAAAAUCACCCUAAGCAAGACGAGGGAUUAAACUUAUCCGGUUUUGAAAGUUGAGGGACUAAACUUAUCUGGUUUUGAAAGUUGAGGGACUAAGUUUUGCUGGUUUCGGAGUCGAGGGACCAUUGCUAUACUUUCGAAAGAGUUGAAGGACGAAAAAUAUACUUAUCCCUUUCUAUAAUUAAUAGAAGAGCUUGUAACAUUAAUGAACUUACCAUUGAACUUCUGCACCAGUGAUGAUGAAUGGUUGUGCAAUAUGGACUUAAUCUUAUAUUAGAAUUCAAUCUGGCUGAAAUAUGAAGGUUCAGGGUUAUUUCUUUUUAUUAUUGAUUCCACAUGCUCCAUUUGGGUUGGUAGUCCAAUGACGUCUAUAAAAGCGGAGUUAAUUAUUUGAAAGUUUCAUCUAAUUUUUUUCCUUUGUAGCAAACUCGAAGUAGUAAACGGGGUAACCUUCUGAUGAUCCUCUCACCUCCUUUACUUUUUUAAUGUAUGAAAAAUAACUAUAUUUCACUGCUUACUCGAAUAUACUUAUUCCACAAACUUAAAAUUGUUACAUAAAUAGAUUCUCAUUUAUCUUUGUUCUAUAUGUGUCUAUAAAUUAAACUACUUCCCGAUAGUCGCAAGAAUUGUUUGGCCAUGUGAAAACAAUCAAAACAUACUUAGUAGUUGUUGUAGAAAAUAACAGAACAGUUCGCAAGUAAAUAUAUGAUGACUAAACCUUUUCAUCGAUGAAUAUCAUACCGGCAUACUUAGUAGUUAAAACAAACAAUAGAACAAUCUGCUAAUAAAUAUGCAAUGGCUAAACCUUUUCAUCUAUGAAUAUCAUGCCGAGGUUCCAGAGCCAUUUAAUUGUAGGAUUGAUUGAAUUUCAUAUUCUCAUUACUUGCACUUGAAUACAUAGUUUCAUCCUCCUGUUGUGAACUCGCUAUGCUUGUUAUAUGCCAUUGCUGCAAAAGGAUCACAAAAUCGCUAGGGAAUUAUUAAUAAUGCACCUAUGAAGAUUGUAUGCAGAAUAACAAUUACAAACCUUGAUGAUUCAGGUGAGAGGCUACUCAGAAGGUAGAUUGGAUCCAGAAUAACAAUUGCAAACCUUGAUGAUUCAGGUGAGUCACUCAGAAGGUUGCCAUGACUACAUCGGCGUUGCAUAGUUGAAUCGGAAGACUUUGAUUGCCAAGGUAGAUUGGAUCCAGAAUAACAAUUAGAAACCUUUAUGACUCAGGUGAGAAGCCACUCAGAAGGUUGCUUGGGCGUCACUACAUCUGGCUUGGUGACAUUACGUAGUUGAAUUGGAAGACUGAUUUUGUUGGUAGUGUGCUAGCUAGGUAGUAGAUUUGGCUGACUUCAAUUUUUGGGCAUGUGCUGGGUGCGGUUGCAUGUAUGUGUUUUUAUGUGCCGUGUUUGCCUUGGCAAGUCAUGUUUGUAGUCCGUAUACACGUCUUAUUUGCAUGUGUGUCCGAGUUUGAAAAAAAAUGAUGUCCUUAUUUGCUUAGGUUCCUUAUUUAUUUAUUUAUUUAUUUAUUUAGGUUUGACUACUAUUUUUAUCCUAAUUACAAUAUAAUUGUUUUUAUCCUAAUUACACAUGAUGGAACAUGGAUGUGUUGGUCCGUUAUAUGCACGUACACGUUAUAUGAACGUACACGUGACAACACAACUUUUCUCGUUUACGUGUUG